AAAUUAAGAAAAUAAUUGUAUCCACAUUAUCGUGACGGUGGUUAUUGCUAAACUUUAGGGAAAAAAAUCCAUAGAAGUCAACAAUGAAAUGCUGGAAAAGAUAAUUCCUAACGAACCGACGUACGGUAUGGAAUUAUUGAUAUUGUUUAAUCAAAUUGGCAGUCAGUUUUUAAUAAUUCAUAGAUUUCGCAUUUGCUUAUGUUCCGUGAAGACUUUAUUAUUUUAUCAAAAGUUUUUCGUCUCUCCAAUAAUAGACUCGGUUCCGUAGUGACGCCCUUCUUAAAACAGAUGGCGCGCGAUGAUGAAAUAAACUCAUCUCAUGAAUUCUGGCGGGACGUAGAAUUCCAGUACUUGGCUACAAUUACAGGGAAGAAAAGUAUGGCUAGUGCAUUAACUAGGUGGCACCGUGAUCUCCCCUUGGUGCAGUGAGCUAUACGUAGGCGGAGCAAUACUUGCCUCAUGCUGUGAAGAAAAAAAAAGAAAUGAAAAGGGCGGGCCUAAUGUCUGAGAGGUUUAAACAACAUGGCCGAUAUACAUUAUUUAUACCACAGUAGCGAUUCAAGUUGUCUACCGACGGCCGACGUCUGGCCCGAGCUUUAGCCCAGUCAACCUACAACGCGUAGCCUCGGGGCUGUUGUGGAGCCAUGGAAAACACUUAAAAACUAUCGCUCGCUUUGUCACUAAGCUUAUUUGACCUCUAGACGUAGGAGCUCGAGUCUAGACUCACGUCCCUUCCUACCACGUCUAUGACGUAGAACGCUGGUAGGGAUGCGCGACGAAUAACUCGGCUCGAAUAACACAAGGAGGUUAUGGCGUGAAUUUCCUCAUGUCGAGUGCGCAUAAAUUUUGAGUGGAAAAUUGUCGACACACCAAUGGCGUUACACGUCUAAAGCGUGGAUCGGAGGACAGAAGAGCGAAGGGGACAGUGUUUCUAAUUUAUGGUUUCCUCGUGGCAGCAAUGUAACGUGGAUAUAUGCAUAAGCUUCCCAGCGGUACCGAGAGAAACGAGGGGAAUCGAGGAGCUUGCGGAUUUCCGGUACAGCUAACGACACCUAUCGUCAACGAGAAAAAACACGACGGUCAAGAGUCGAGGCGGACGGCGAAGCAACAAAAAAUAACCUACGCAACUGACGCACGUGUACGAGACAUGAUGAAUUUCAUUAAAAAAAUAAAUAAAUAAAUAAAUAAAUAACCAUAAAAUCUUUUACCUGCUUUUUUUCUCUCAUUCUUAUUCUUCGUUGCGUGCUUGCACAAAUCUCAAUUGAAAAACUUGGCAACUACCGAGUUACGAUUUUUUCUCUUAAUCAUGACAAAUGAACAUUUCUUUCAGUAACAAUAAUCUCUUGUAUUUUUCACAGCGAGUCCUACAACCGCUUACACUUUCGACUCCUUCGCUUGUACAGCCUUUUUUAAACGUUUAACGUCCCUACACGCUCAACGUAAAGCGAACGACAAUUCGAGAGGCAAUGCGCGGGACUUUCGAGUCCGUUGAAUUCCGCGAACGGGCUGAUCGACUGUGGCACCGUUUUACAG